rnacentral:misc_RNA from 1 species
GCAAACUUGGUCAUUUAGAGGAAGUAAAAGUCGUAACAAGGUUUCCGUAGGUGAACCUGCGGAAGGAUCAUUACCAAAGUGGUUAUUUUAACCAUAAACAGAUCCCACUUGUGUGCACUCAUUGGAGCCUUUCAUGGUUCCCAACCUCUUUUUCCUUCUUUUUUUUAUUUUGUCUGAUCUUUGAAUCAUAUUUUGAUUUAAAAAAAAAUACAACUUUCAACAACGGAUCUCUUGGCUCUCGCAUCGAUGAAGAACGCAGC